rnacentral:rRNA from 1 species
GACGGCCUUCGGGUUGUAAACUCCUUUCGACAGGGACGAAGCGUAAGUGACGGUACCUGUAUAAGAAGCACCGGCUAACUACGUGCCAGCAGCCGCGGUAAUACGUAGGGUGCGAGCGUUGUCCGGAAUUACUGGGCGUAAAGAGCUCGUAGGUGGUUUGUCGCGUCGUCUGUGAAAUUCCGGGGCUUAACUUCGGGCGUGCAGGCGAUACGGGCAUAACUUGAGUGCUGUAGGGGANACUGGAAUUCCUGGUGUAGCGGUGAAAUGCGCAGAUAUCAGGAGGAACACCGAUGGCGAAGGCAGGUNNCUGGGCAGUUACUGACGCUGAGGAGCGAAAGCAUGGGUAGCAAACAGGAUUAGAUACCCUGGUAGUCCAUGCCGUAAACGGUGGGCGCUAGGUGUAGGGGGCUUCCACGUCUUCUGUGCCGUAGCUAACGCAUUAAGCGCCCCGCCUGGGGAGUACGGCCGCAAGGCUAAAACUCAAAGGAAUUGACGGGGGCCCGCACAAGCGGCGGAGCAUGUGGAUUAAUUCGAUGCAACGCGAAGAACCUUACCUGGGCUUGACAUACACCAGAUUGCUGCAGAGAUGUAGUGUCCCUUGUGGUUGGUGUACAGGUGGUGCAUGGUUGUCGUCAGCUCGUGUCGUGAGAUGUUGGGUUAAGUCCCGCAACGAGCGCAACCCUUGUCUUAUGUUGCCAGCAUUUGGUUGGGGACUCAUGANAGACUGCCGGGGUUAACUCGGANGAAGGUGGGGAUGACGUCAAAUCAUCAUGCCCCUUAUGUCCAGGGCUUCACACAUGCUACAAUGNUCGGUACAACGCGCAGCGACACUGU